UACAUGGGGUGCAAACGUUGCUCGGAAUUAUUGGGCGUAAAGAGCUCGUAGGCGGUCUGUCACGUCGGCUGUGAAAACCCGAGGCUCAACCUCGGGCCUGCAGUCGAUACGGGCAAACUAGAGUACUGCAGGGGAGACUGGAAUUCCUGGUGUAGCGGUGAAAUGCGCAGAUAUCAGGAGGAACACCGGUGGCGAAGGCGGGUCUCUGGGCAGUAACUGACGCUGAGGAGCGAAAGCGUGGGGAGCGAACAGG
rnacentral:rRNA from 1 species